UAGCGGCAGGCUUAGCACAUGCAAGUCGAGGGGCAGCAUAAUGGAUAGCAAUAUCUAUGGUGGCGACCGGCGCACGGGUGCGUAACGCGUAUGCAACCUACCUUUAACAGGGGGAUAACACUGAGAAAUUGGUACUAAUACCCCAUAAUAUCAUAGAAGGCAUCUUUUAUGGUUGAAAAUUCCGAUGGUUAGAGAUGGGCAUGCGUUGUAUUAGCUAGUUGGUGAGGUAACGGCUCACCAAGGCGACGAUACAUAGGGGGACUGAGAGGUUAACCCCCCACACUGGUACUGAGACACGGACCAGACUCCUACGGGAGGCAGCAGUGAGGAAUAUUGGUCAAUGGACGCAAGUCUGAACCAGCCAUGCCGCGUGCAGGAUGACGGCUCUAUGAGUUGUAAACUGCUUUUGUACUAGGGUAAACUCACCUACGUGUAGGUGACUGAAAGUAUAGUACGAAUAAGGAUCGGCUAACUCCGUG
rnacentral:rRNA from 1 species